rfam:Microgenomates bacterium GW2011_GWC2_46_7 TX64_C0046, whole genome shotgun sequence.
GGAGGGUGGGUAGGACGGUAAUGCGCUGGUUUCGAAAACCAGUGGGAGCAAUCCCUAACAGGUUCGACUCCUGUACCCUCCG